rnacentral:rRNA from 1 species
AACGUAGGAGACAAACGUUAUCCGGAUUUACUGGGCGUAAAGGGCGUGUAGGUGGUUUCGUAAGUCUGGCGUGAAAUAUCUCGGCUUAACCGAGGCAGGUCGUCGGAUACUGCGGAACUAGAGGACGGUAGAGGCGUGUGGAAUUCCGGGUAUAGUGGUGAAAUGCGUAGAGAUCCGGAGGAACACCAGUGGCGAAGGCGACACGCUGGGCCGUACCUGACACUGAUGCGCGACAGCAUGGGGAGCAAACAGG